rnacentral:rRNA from 1 species
GGGUCAGUAGGUUGGUCGUGCCACCGGUACGUACUGGUCUCACUGAUUCCUCCUUCCUGAAGAACCGUAAUGCCAUUAAUUUGGUGUUGCGGGGAAACAGGACUGUUACUCUGAAAAAAUUAGAGUGUUUGAAGCAAGCUAACGCUUGAAUACAUUAGCAUGGAAUAAUGAAAUAGGACGAUCGAUCCUAUUUUGUUGGUUUCUAGGAUUGACGUA